rnacentral:rRNA from 1 species
AACGAACGCUGGCGGCAUGCCUAACACAUGCAAGUCGAACGAGACCUUCGGGUCUAGUGGCGCACGGGUGCGUAACACGUGGGAAUCUGCCCUUAGGUUCGGAAUAACAGUUGGAAACGACUGCUAAUACCGGAUGAUGACGUAAGUCCAAAGAUUUAUCGCCUAAGGAUGAGCCCGCGUCGGAUUAGCUAGUUGGUGGGGU